rnacentral:rRNA from 1 species
UGCGUAGGCGGAAUGAUAAGUUAGUGGUGAAAGCCCCCGGCUCAACCGGAGUACUGCCAUUAAUACUGUCAUUCUUGAGUAUAGUUGAAGUGGGCGGAAUGUAUCAUGUAGCGGUGAAAUGCUUAGAUAUGAUACAGAACACCGAUAGCGUAGGCAGCUUGCUAAACUAUAACUGACGCUCAGGCACGAAAGCGUGGGGAGCAAACAGGAUUAGAUACCCUGGUAGUCC